UACAGAGGGUGCGAGCGUUAAUCGGAAUUACUGGGCGUAAAGCGUGCGUAGACGGUUAUCUAAGUCGGAUGUGAAAGCCCCGGGCUCAACCUGGGAAUUGCAUUCGAGACUGAAUAGCUAGGGUGCGGUAGAGGGAAGCGGAAUUUCCGGUGUAGCGGUGAAAUGCGUAGAUAUCGGAAGGAACAUCAGUGGUGAAAGCGGCUUCCUGGACCAGCACCGACGUUCAGGCACGAAAGCGUGGGGAGCAAACAGG
rnacentral:rRNA from 1 species